ACCCCCAUGUGACAUCACAAUGCCCCACCCAUAUGAUUUGCCAUGUUAUCUAACGCCAGUGCUGCAGUGCCGACGUGUUUACAUUAAAAGGCCUGCUGGGAAAGGCUAUAGACACCAGAACCACUACAUUAAGCUGCAGUGGUUCUGGGGACUAUAGUGUUUCUUUAAUGUGAGGUAAAUUAGAGAUUAGUGCCACGAAUAAUAUACUAGAUUGCCUACUUACAACCAGAUGAGGAUGAUGAUGGGCUCUAGCUGCAGUCUGGCUCCACUGGUCUGGUGUAGAACAGGCUCUCUGGAGGCGUUUUGUAACUGUGGUCACAAAAAUCAAUGUUCUGGGAGAACGGGAAGCAGCUCCAUUUUUUGGGGGCCCUUUACACAGCUCAAGGUCUGGGUCCCAGGAUCCACCUUCAUGUUCCAC